rnacentral:rRNA from 1 species
GGGUCAGUAGGUUGGUCGUGCCACCGGUACGUACUGGUCCCACUGAUUCCUCCUUCCUGAAGAACCGUAAUGCCAUUAAUUUGGUGUUGCGGGGAAACAGGAUUGUUACUUUGAAAAAAUUAGAGUGUUUAAAGCAAGCUAACGCUUGAAUACAUUAGCAUGGAAUAAUGAAAUAGGACGAUCGAUCCUAUUUUGUUGGUUUCUAGGAUUGACGUA